rnacentral:lncRNA from 1 species
UAACUAUUACCUAAUAUCAGCCGAAUGAUAGCUUCAUAAAGGUAAAAAGCUCAAAUAGGGACCAAAAUUCAAGCCAGGAAGAAAUUGGAGAGAAAACAGUCGAAGAAGACUCAUUCCAAUGAGGACAUGAACUCAACUGGAUAUUGAUUCCAUCCAGAUAAUGAAUUGGAGAGGAAAACUGAAACCAAAAUCUUCCAUGAGGAUCAAACUCAGUUGGGAAUUAGUAAAGAUAAACUCUUUUUGCUUAAGGUCG